GACUGAUUAGAAGCUUGCUUCUAUGACGUUAGCGGCGGACGGGUGAGUAACACGUGGGCAACCUGCCUGUAAGACUGGGAUAACUUCGGGAAACCGAAGCUAAUACCGGAUAGGAUCUUCUCCUUCAUGGGAGAUGAUUGAAAGAUGGUUUCGGCUAUCACUUACAGAUGGGCCCGCGGUGCAUUAGCUAGUUGGUGAGGUAACGGCUCACCAAGGCAACGAUGCAUAGCCGACCUGAGAGGGUGAUCGGCCACACUGGGACUGAGACACGGCCCAGACUCCUACGGGAGGCAGCAGUAGGGAAUCUUCCGCAAUGGACGAAAGUCUGACGGAGCAACGCCGCGUGAGUGAUGAAGGCUUUCGGGUCGUAAAACUCUGUUGUUAGGGAAGAACAAGUACGAGAGUAACUGCUCGUACCUUGACGGUACCUAACCAGAAAGCCACGGCUAACUACGUGCCAGCAGCGGUGGGUAAUAAA
rnacentral:rRNA from 2 species